CAAUGGGCGCAAGCCUGAUCCAUCAAUGCCGCGUGUGUGAAGAAGGCCUUCCGGUUGUAAAGCACUUUUGUCCGGAAAGAAAUCCUUUGGCCUAAUACGUCGGGGGGAUGACGGUACCGGAAGAAUAAGCACCGGCUAACUACGUGCCAGCAGCCGCGGUAAUACGUAGGGUGCAAGCGUUAAUCGGAAUUACUGGGCGUAAAGCGUGCGCAGGCGGUUCGCUAAGACAGAUGUGAA
rnacentral:rRNA from 1 species